rnacentral:tRNA from 1 species
UACAUUUAGGUGUAUGAUGCACGUCAGUUUUUGAUACUGAAGGAGGCAGUUUAAUUCUGCCAUAUGUAA